GAUGAAGAACGUAGCGAAAUGCGAUAAGUAAUGUGAAUUGCAGAAUCCAGUGAAUCAUCGAAUCUUUGAACGCACAUUGCGCCCGCCAGCAUUCUGGCGGGCAUGCCUGUUCGAGCGUCAUUUCAACCCUCGACCUCCCCUUGGGGAGGUCGGCGUUGGGGACCGGCAGCACACCGCCGGCCCUGAAAUGGAGUGGCGGCCCGUCUGCGGCGACCUCUGCGUAGUAAUACAGCUCGCACCGGAACCCCGACGCGGCCACGCUGUAAAACACCCAACUUCUGAACGUUGACCUCGAAUCAGGUAGGACUACCCGCUGAACUUAAGCAUAUCAAUAAGCGGAGGA
rnacentral:misc_RNA from 1 species